rfam:Dipodomys ordii contig_5395, whole genome shotgun sequence.
UGGCUCAGUGGUAGAGUGCUUGCCUUGCAUGCAUGAGGCCCUGGGUUCAAUACCUCAG